rnacentral:rRNA from 1 species
AUUGAACGCUGGCGGCAUGCUUUACACAUGCAAGUCGAACAGUAACAGGUUAAGCUGACGAGUGGCGAACGGGUGAGUAAUGCAUCGGAACGUGCCCGAUCGUGGGGGAUAACGCAGCGAAAGCUGCGCUAAUACCGCAUACGAUCUGAGGAUGAAAGCGGGGGACCGUAAGGCCUCGCGCGAUCGGAGCGGCCGAUGUCAGAUUAGGUAGUUGGUGGGGUAAAGGCCCACCAAGCCGACGAUCUGUAGCUGGUCUGAGAGGACAACCAGCCACACUGGGACGGAGACACGGCCCAGACUCCUACGGGAGGCAGCAGUGGGGAAUUUUGGACAAGGGGCGAAAGCCUGAUCCAGCAAUGCCGCGUGCAGGAAGAAGGCCUUCGGGUUGUAAACUGCUUUUGUACGGAGCGAAAAGGUCCUUUCCAAUACAAGGGGCUCAUGACGGUACCGUAAGAAUAAGCACCGGCUAACUACGUGCCAGCAGCCGCCGUAAGAC